CGCGAAGAACCUUACCAGGUCUUGACAUCCUUUGACCACUCUAGAGAUAGAGCUUCCCCUUCGGGGGCAAAGUGACAGGUGGUGCAUGGUUGUCGUCAGCUCGUGUCGUGAGAUGUUGGGUUAAGUCCCGCAACGAGCGCAACCCUUAUUGUUAGUUACCAUCAUUCAGUUGGGCACUCUAGCAAGACUGCCGGUGACAAACCGGAGGAAGGUGGGGAUGACGUCAAAUCAGCAUGCCCCUUAUGACUUGGGCUACACACGUGCUACAAUGGAUGGUACAACGAGUCGCAAACCCGCGAGGGCAAGCAAAUCUCUUAAAGCCAUUCUCAGUUCGGAUUGCAGGCUGCAACUCGCCUGCAUGAAGCCGGAAUCGCUAGUAAUCGUGGAUCAGCACGCCACGGUGAAUACGUUCCCGGGUCUUGUACACACC
rnacentral:rRNA from 1 species